rnacentral:rRNA from 1 species
CAGUAGCCACGGUAAUACAGAGGGUGCGAGCGUUAAUCGGAUUUACUGGGCGUAAAGCGUGCGUAGGCGGCUUUUUAAGUCGGAUGUGAAAUCCCUGAGCUUAACUUAGGAAUUGCAUUCGAUACUGGGAAGCUAGAGUAUGGGAGAGGAUGGUAGAAUUCCAGGUGUAGCGGUGAAAUGCGUAGAGAUCUGGAGGAAUACCGAUGGCGAAGGCAGCCAUCUGGCCUAAUACUGACGCUGAGGUACGAAAGCAUGGGGAGCAAACAGGAUUAGAUACCCCUGUAGUCCCUGUCUCUAUACA